CUGCAUGGCAGCAUAUGGAGGCUCCAAGGCUAGGGGUUGAAUCAGAGCUAUAGCCACAGCCACAGCAAUGCCAAAUCUGAGCCAUACUGCGACCUACACCACAGCUCAUGGCAACCCCAGAUCCUUAACCUACUGAGUGAGACCAGGGAUUGAAACUGUGCCCUCAUGGAUGCCAGUCGGAUUUGUUUCUGCUGAGCCACGGUGGGAACUCCAAUCCAACCACUUCUGAUUGUCUUUAUGAUCAUCCUUCUUCAGGCAGUUUUUUUUUUUUUUUAAAUCCUGUACUUCUGCUCCGGUCGCCUAUCUCAUCUUCUGCACUUUUCCCCACAAUCAUUUCUCUGUAGACAGAGUGAUCCCUUUCAAAAUGUAAAUUGGAUCACACCACUCUUCUCUUCAAAAUCAUUCAAUGCCUUCCUAUCCGCCUUAGGAUACAACCCCGCAUCCUUACUAAGGCCUAGAGGACCCAUCAUGAUCUGCUCCCUUUGCAAAUUCUCUCACCUCAUCUCCUUACAUAUCCUACUUGUCUUAUUCUGUUCUAGCUACUUCGCCUUCCACGGUGUUUCUUGAGCAUUACCAAACUCAUUGCUGGUUCAGGGCUCUGGACUGGCUGUUCUCUGUAUAGAAAGAGCUUUUUUCAGAUCUUCACAGGGCUCCUUCCUUCAAUUCACUCAAGUCUCUGCUUAAAUGUCAUUUCCGCAGAGACUCUUUCUCUGCCCACACAACCCAAACCUCUUCCCCUUUAUUUUUCAUUAAAGUGUAGUUUUGAUUUACCACGUCGUGUCAAUUUCUGCUGUAUGGCACAGUGACCCAGUCAUUCACACAUAUAUAUGAAUAUAUAUAUAUAUAUAUAUUNUAUAUGAAUAUAUAUAUAUAUAUUUUUCUUUUUGUCAUAUUAUCGUCCAUCAUGUUUUAUCUCAAGAGAGUGGAUAAAGCUCCUGUCUCUUACACUACUUUGAUUGUGUUUAUAGAAUUUCUAAUCUGACAUCAUAUAUUUUGUUAGCUUGUGUGUUUUCCUUUUGUUCUACCCAGUUAGGUGGAGGAUUUCUUGCCCUUUUUGGAGGUUUAAGUUCUUCUGCCAGCAUUCAGUAGAUGAUCUGUGUGAAACCUUCCACAUGUACAUGUGUUUUUUUGAAAUGGGCUUGUGGUGCAACUCUGGUCUAUGACAUGUGAAAGAAAGUGUGCCAAGUGUCCUCUGAUAAAGGCUUAUCAUUUCUAAGGUAAACCCACAGGAAGAGAAAAGAGUCUACCUUCUUCCUCUGUUAAUAGUGAAAAUGUGAGGCCUAAAAUCGCAGCAGUCAUUUUUGAAUCAACCUGAGGAGGAAACUUAUGCAAAGUUUGAAGGGUGUGGAGAGAUGGAAAGAACGUGGGUCCUGGAUGGUAUCACUGAGCUGCCAACUCGUCUCAGUCUGAGGCAGCCCUGCGAGGGGGGUACAGCUGUGAGAGGGAGUAGAUGUCUAACUGAUUAUGCCAGUGUUCUAAGGAUAUCAUUUCAUUCAUGGUUUUAGUCCUCACAGCCAAGAACAAUCUGGCUGAUGCAUGAAGCUUUUUAGCUCUUCUUACUACAUAAUUCCAUACACCUGAUUCUUAAGAUACAUCAAAACUCCAGAUGUCCAGCUAACUGUUCAUCUGUGCUUUUACUCAAUCCCUUGCUUCUACACAUGUAAAAUUUUACUCUUUUCUCAUGCUUCCUCUUAUGUGGACCAACUCAGAAGUUUCACUCCCUGUCAUGCCUCCCCAAAAAUUUGCUGCUGGGUUAGAAUCACUUUUUCUGUUGUAGCCCCAUAACUUAUUACUUAUCUUCUUCCCGGCUCCUAUUAGCUCAAGCUUCAUGCUACAGUGAUUUCCCCCAUUCUCACCUUCAUUCAUUCGUGUAAUCAUUCAUUUAUUCAUUCACCAAUAUUCACUGAACAUUUACAGCCUUGAUUUGCACAUAUAUCAGUAGACAAAACACAUAAAAAUAUCUGCUGUAAUAGAGUUGAUGGGGUGAGGGUGUCCAUUCAAUAAGCUAAUUAAUUAAAAUAUCGGGAGUAAGUUGUAUGAAGAAAAAUAAAGCACAGCAGGGGCAACAAGGAACACCAGGGUAUGUGAGGGAGGAUUGAAGUCUCAAAAGAGGUGGUUCAGGGAGGUAGUUCAUCUCAUUUAGAAGGUGACACAUGUGCAAAGACUUGAAUAAGGUGAAGCAGCAGGUCAUCUACCUGGGCCAGAGUGCUCCAGGUACAGACCAUAGGUCCGAGGGCAGGAGUGCCCUCAUGAGCUGGAGGAACAGCCAAAACCUUCUAUGCCCAGAGCAGAAUGAGUGCAGUAGUGAAAAAAAGAACCCAUCUUCAACACGUCACCCUGCCCCGAGGACCCAGCAUAGUCAUUUAACCACUGAACCUUCAAUAAAGGAUUGUUUAAAGGGCAUUGUAGGGCAUUCCCAUUGUGGUGAAGUGGAAAUGAAUCUGACUAGGAACCAUGAUGUUGCAGGUUCAAGCCCUGGCCUCGGUCAGUGGGUUAAGGAUCCGGUAUUGCUGUGAGCUGUGGUGUGGGUUGCAGAUGCAGCUUGGAUCUGGCAUUGCUGUGGUUGUGGCCUAGGCCGGCAGCUGUAGCUCCAAUUUGACCCCUAGGCUGGCAACCUCCAUAUGCCUCGGGUGUGGCCCUAAAAAGCACAAAAAAAAAAAAAAAAAAAAAAAAAGGCAUUGUGCUUUGUAUCAAAUAAUUGUCUCUAUUGGCUAGAGUUAUAAUUAUGUCAAUCAUAUAAAUACCUAAGUAGUCCUAUUUAACAUUUUAGUAGUAGAAUAUAUUAUGAACCAGAUUUGUUUUCUACCAUUCAAGGAACUUUCCUAAGAUAAUUAUGGGUCCCAGUGUUCAGAUUUACAUGCUUCAGUCUUAAUUCCUCCCACCUCAUUGUUAAUUCCAGAUCUCUGGUUCAUUGACCUGAGGCUCACAUAACAUGAUCACACCUAGAGGCAAAACAAGCCGCAGAUGAAGUUGGAUGGUCCAG
rnacentral:lncRNA from 1 species